rnacentral:rRNA from 1 species
CGGACGGGUGAGUAACGCGUGGGUAACGUGCCUGUACUGGGGGACAACAGUUAGAAAUGACUGCUAAUACCGCAUAAGCGCACAGUAUCGCAUGAUACAGUGUGAAAAACUCCGGUGGUACAAGAUGGACCCGCGUCUGAUUAGCUAGUUGGUAAGGUAACGGCUUACCAAGGCGACGAUCAGUAGCCGACCUGAGAGGGUGACCGGCCACAUUGGGACUGAGACACGGCCCAA